rnacentral:rRNA from 1 species
UACGUAGGGACCGAGCGUUGUCCGGAUUCAUUGGGCGUAAAGGGCUCGUAGGCGGUUUGUCGCGUCGGGAGUGAAAACCUCGGGCUUAACUUGGGGCUUGCUUUCGAUACGGGCAGACUGGAGGUAUGCAGGGGAGAACGGAAUUCCUGGUGUAGCGGUGAAAUGCGCAGAUAUCAGGAGGAACACCGGUGGCGAAGGCGGUUCUCUGGGCAUGACCUGACGCUGAGGAGCGAAAGUGUGGGGAGCGAACAGG